rnacentral:rRNA from 1 species
ACCCAACAGCUAGCCCACCUAAACAAUUUCAACCAACCCCUGUUAAUAACCCCUAAGUACCCCAGUAUUUAAAUUAAACAAACCAUUUUUCCCCCUUAGUAUAGGCGAUAGAAAAGGACCCCCGGCGCAAUAGAGAAAGUACCGCAAGGGAAUGCUGAAAGAGAAGUGAAAUAACCCAGUAAAGCCUAAAAAAGCAGAGAUUUAAACUCGUACCUUUUGCAUCAUGAUUUAGCGAGUGUACCCCAAGCAAAGCGUACUUUAGUUUGACGUCCCGAAACUAGGUGAGCUACUCCAAGACAGCCUAUUAAUAGGGCGUACCCGUCUCUGUGGCAAAAGAGUGGGGAGAGCUUUGAGUAGAGGUGAUAAACCUACCGAACCUAGUUAUAGCUGGUUGUCCAAGAAAUGAAUAGAAGUUCAGCCUCUUGGCUUCUCUUUUCACCCUAGUUUAACCCCUAUUGAUGCAGUAAAGAAACCGAGAGAGUUAGUCAAAGGGGGUACAGCCCCUUUGAAUCAAGACACAACUUUAUCAGGAGGGU